UACAGAGGGGGCAAGCGUUGUUCGGAAUUACUGGGCGUAAAGGGCGCGUAGGCGGCCAUCUAAGUCGGACGUGAAAGCCCCAGGCUUAACCUGGGAACGGCGUCCGAUACUGGGCGGCUUGGAUUCGGGAGAGGGAUGUGGAAUUCCAGGUGUAGCGGUGAAAUGCGUAGAUAUCUGGAGGAACACCGGUGGCGAAGGCGGCAUCCUGGACCGAGAUCGACGCUGAGGCGCGAAAGCUAGGGGAGCAAACGGG
rnacentral:rRNA from 1 species